CAGUCGCCACGGUAAUACAGAGGGUGCAAGCGUUAAUCGGAAUUACUGGGCGUAAAGCGCGCGUAGGUGGUUUGUUAAGUUGGAUGUGAAAUCCCCGGGCUUAACCUGGGAACUGCAUCCAAAACUGGCAAGCUAGAGUAUGGUAGAGGGUGGUGGAAUUUCCUGUGUAGCGGUGAAAUGCGUAGAUAUAGGAAGGAACACCAGUGGCGAAGGCGACCACCUGGACUGAUACUGACACUGAGGUGCGAAAGCGUGGGGAGCAAACAGGAUUAGAUACCCCAGUAGUCCCUGUCUCUUAUAC
rnacentral:rRNA from 1 species